rnacentral:rRNA from 1 species
CACGUAUUUAGCCGGGGCUUCUUAGUCAAGUACCGUCAUUUUCUUCCUUGCUGAUAGAAGUUUACAUGCCGAAAUACUUCAUCCUUCACGCGGCGUCGCUGCAUCAGGGUUUCCCCCAUUGUGCAAUAUUCCCUACUGCUGCCUCCCGUAGGAGUUUGGGCCGUGUCUCAGUCCCAAUGUGGCCGAUCACUCUCUCAAGUCGGCUACUGAUCGUUGCCUUGGUGGGCCGUUACCCCUCCAACUAGCUAAUCAGACGCGGGUCCAUCUUGUACCACCGGAGUUUUUCACACUGUAUCAUGCGAUACUGUGCGCUUAUGCGGUAUUAGCAGUCGUUUCCAACUGUUAUCCCCCUGUACAAGGCAGGUUACCCACGCGUUACUCACCCGUCCGCCACUCAGUCACCUCAAUUGUUUCAAUCUCUAGCAAGCUAGGUCAAUCAACGGGAGAGGUGCUUCGUUCGACUUGCAUGUAUUAAGCACGCCGCCAGCGUUCAU